rnacentral:rRNA from 1 species
GACGAACGCUGGCGGCGUGCUUAACACAUGCAAGUCGAACGGAAAGGCCCUGCUUUUGUGGGGUGCUCGAGUGGCGAACGGGUGAGUAACACGUGAGUAACCUGCCCUUGACUUUGGGAUAACUUCAGGAAACUGGGGCUAAUGCCGGAUAGGAGCUCCUGCUGCAUGGUGGGGGUUGGAAAGUUUCGGCGGUUGGGGAUGGACUCGCGGCUUAUCAGCUUGUUGGUGGGGUAGUGGCUUACCAAGGCUUUGACGGGUAGCCGGCCUGAGAGGGUGACCGGCCACAUUGGGACUGAGAUACGGCCCAGACUCCUACGGGAGGCAGCAGUGGGGAAUAUUGCACAAUGGGCGGAAGCCUGAUGCAGCAACGCCGCGUGCGGGAUGACGGCCUUCGGGUUGUAAACCGCUUUCGCCUGUGACGAAGCGUGAGUGACGGUAAUGGGUAAAGAAGCACCGGCUAACUACGU